CAGUCGCCGCGGUAAGACAAAGGAUGCAAGCGUUAUCCGGAAUUAUUGGGCGUAAAGGGCUCGCAGGCGGUUUCUUAAGUCUGAUGUGAAAGCCCCCGGCUCAACCGGGGAGGGUCAUUGGAAACUGGGAAACUUGAGUGCAGAAGAGGAGAGUGGAAUUCCACGCGUAGCGGUGAAAUGCGUAGAGACGUGGAGGAACACCAGUGGCGAAGGCGACUCUCUGGUCUGUAACUGACGCUGAGGAGCGAAAGCGUGGGGAGCGAACAGGAUUAGAUACCCCAGUAGUCCCUGUCUCUUAUAC
rnacentral:rRNA from 1 species